rnacentral:rRNA from 1 species
UACGAAGGGGGCUAGCGUUGCUCGGAAUCACUGGGCGUAAAGCGCACGUAGGCGGAUUGUUAAGUCAGGGGUGAAAUCCUGGAGCUCAACUCCAGAACUGCCUUUGAUACUGGCGAUCUCGAGUUCGGGAGAGGUGAGUGGAACUGCGAGUGUAGAGGUGAAAUUCGUAGAUAUUCGCAAGAACACCAGUGGCGAAGGCGGCUCACUGGCCCGGUACUGACGCUGAGGUGCGAAAGCGUGGGGAGCAAACAGGG